rnacentral:rRNA from 1 species
CCUACGGGAGGCAGCAGUGGGGAAUAUUGGGCAAUGGGCGCAAGCCUGACCCAGCAACGCCGCGUGAAGGAAGAAGGCUUUCGGGUUGUAAACUUCUUUUCUCAGGGACGAAGCAAGUGACGGUACCUGAGGAAGAAGCCACGGCUAACUACGUGCCAGCAGCCGCGGUAAUACGAAGGUGGCAAGCGAUAUCCGGAUUUACUGGGGGUAAAGAGCGGGAAGGCGGGAAAGCAAGUCAGAUGAAAAAACCAUGGGCUCAACCUGUGGCCUGCAUUUGAAACUGUUUUUCUUGAGUACUGGAGAGGCAGACGGAAUUCCUGUUGUAGCGGUGAAAUGCGUAGAUAUUAGGAGGAACACCAGUGGAGAAGGCGGUCUGCUGGACAGCAACUGACGCUGAGGCGCGAAAGCGUGGGGAGCAAACAGGAUUAGAUACCCUUGUAGUC